rnacentral:misc_RNA from 1 species
AGUAUUUAUAAUGAUGCGUUACAUCAAUUACAUUCAGUUUAAAUUAAAUUGAGUUUGUAUAUGACAGUAGACGGCAGGGUUUUUUAGGCCCUUCCGUCUCACAAGUGCACAAGGGGUGUGUGGAUGAAAUUUUUAAAAAAAAGAGAAGGCGUGCACAAAUGUUCAGAAAACCAGCAACAGCCCAAUCUUAAUUUAUUCAAUAAUGAUCCUUCCGCAGGUUCACCUACGGAAA